GAAAUGUGGUGACCAAAAAGAAGCCGCUAACUUCUAUUUUUAACGGUUUAAAUCCGUUUACAUUUCU
rnacentral:tRNA from 1 species